GUGUUCACUUCAACAGCACAUAUACUAAAAUUGGAAUGAUACAGAGAAGAUUAGCAUGGCCCCUGUGCAAGGAUAAUAUGCAAAUUCAUGAAGCGUUCCAUAUGUUU
ensembl:snRNA U6 U6 spliceosomal RNA